rnacentral:rRNA from 1 species
UAAACUGCUUUUAUACGGGGAUAAAGUAUGCCACGUGUGGUUUAUUGCAGGUACCGUAUGAAUAAGGACCGGCUAAUUCCGUGCCAGCAGCCGCGGUAAUACGGAAGGUCCGGGCGUUAUCCGGAUUUAUUGGGUUUAAAGGGAGCGUAGGCCGGGUUUUAAGCGUGCCGUGAAAUGUCGGGGCUCAACCUUGACACUGCGGCGCGAACUGGAGUCCUUGAGUGCGCGGAACGUAUGCGGAAUUCGUGGUGUAGCGGUGAAAUGCUUAGAUAUCACGAAGAACCCCGAUUGCGAAGGCAGCAUACGGCAGCGCUACUGACGCUGAAGCUCGAAGGCGCGGGUAUCGAACAGGAUUAGAUACCCUGGUAGUCCGCGCGGUAAACGAUGGAUGCCCGCUGUUGGCGAUAUAUUGUCA